CAGUCGCCACGGUAAUACGAGGGGAGCUAGCGUUAUUCGGAAUUACUGGGCGUAAAGCGCACGUAGGCGGCUUUGUAAGUUAGAGGUGAAAGCCCAGAGCUCAACUCUGGAAUUGCCUUUAAGACUGCAUCGCUUGAAUCCAGGAGAGGUGAGUGGAAUUCCGAGUGUAGAGGUGAAAUUCAUAGAUAUUCGGAAGAACACCAGUGGCGAAGGCGGCUCACUGGACUGGUAUUGACGCUCAUGCACGAAAGCGUGGGGAGCAAACAGGAUUAGAUACCCCAGUAGUCCCUGUCUCUUAUAC
rnacentral:rRNA from 1 species